GGCAAGAUAGUGUGCUUAGUGGUUAGAGCACUGCACUAGAGCCUGGAAGGACCAGGGUUCAAAUCCCCGCCCAGCCA